rnacentral:lncRNA from 1 species
AUGAGAACUCCCCUGCAAGCAUUCUUCUACCCCCUUCCAGCAGUGGGCCUUGAGCAGCAUCCCAGGCCUACAGCCCAGACGGGAGCAGUGGCGGAUGCAGAAUUGCCAUCACUUUUCCUAGGCCAGUGCCUCAGGGCUCAGACCACCUGCACAGCACCUGCAGGCAAAUUAUCAGAGAACAGUGGACUGGACAAGGGAGCAAACAGAAAAGGCAACGAGGGCCCUGAGCUGCAGCCAGACAUGGUCAGACUGACCUUGAGAAAAGAACACAGAAGGGGAGAAAGAAUAAUGCAAUGGCUUCUACUCCUGGUCAAAGUGUCUUUAACCUUGUUGCCUGUGGAGGAAAAUGGACAGAAAAGCUACAUUUUAGCUCUGAUGGUUGAAGAUAAGAAACAUGCUCUGGGCUGCUAGCAGCUGUUUCUUUGGAAGAAGGUCACAAGCAUGAUAAGUGAAACAACAAGAAAUG